CCCAGUUGCUUUAAGAAGUUGGCUACAGUAUCAUGGCAGCCUGCCCAGGUUCUUUGCUCAAUCAAGCAAUAGUUGUCUUUGACCAAAAAAGAAAAAAAUAGCCAACAGUAUCCUUGCUGAAUGUCUGCUGGCAUCUGCUAUCAAUAUAGGAAUAAGGGAAUUAAAAGAAAAUUAAAACAUUAAAAGUUUAGUAUUUUGGUUAACGAUAACAUUACAAAAUUAAUUGUUUUAGUAAUUCAUUAUUGAUGCUACCCAGUUUAGAUUAAUUUUUCGAAAAAACUACCAUGCAAUUUUCAUCUAUUACUUUAAUUGUAUGUACAUAAGAGCUAACUUGCUGUAGACAUAGUCAGAAAACCUGCAUCAUUUACCUCUGUAUUAUACAAUUCCAGCAUGUCACAGUGCCCUAGGCAAGGUCACCAAACUCCUAACAAUGCUGUAGGAUGUGACAGAGGAAUCCAUCUUUACAAAUUAGACUUCAUUAUACAUGAUCCUGCUCAUAAAUCUUGACGUAUCGUUUUCUCGUACAAAACCUCUACCUUGCACUUGCAGGUACCCUCUAGAUCUUCUAAUUCACAGAGUAUUUUACAAAUACAUACUGGAUAUAUGCUUAUGUGCAUAAAGCCACUGUGCUGCUGCAAUAGCAGUGCUCUAAAUGAGACCCGACCUCCUGGAGCACCUGCCCUGCUCUGUGUCCUUCUGGUCCCCACCUGGGGAUGGAAAAGCCGCAGGAGGCCGGUUUUCCAAAGCAGAGUAUUUGUGAUGGGCAAAGCAGAGGCUGAUGUUCCUGCAAGAGAGUGCCCUACUAUGAAAAAGCUGCAUGCCCAGCAAUCAAAAAUUUUCACCUGGAAACCUCCUUUUGACAAAACCCAUAGUUUCUUAAAGAAUAAAAAUUGGAGAAAUCAGGAGCAGGAGGUUGCUCUGGUAUAUGAGAAUGGUGAAGAAGGGAACAGGGAGGCAGCUGUGGUACAAAUGAUGACUGGAUGGAUUGCCCUCUGAGUAAACAGGGCACUUCAAUGGAACAGCAGACA